rnacentral:misc_RNA from 1 species
GAUGAAGAACGUAGCGAACUGCGAUAAGUAAUGUGAAUUGCAGAAUUCAGUGAAUCAUCGAGUCUUUGAACGCACAUUGCGCCCCCUGGCAUUCCGGGGGGCAUGCCUGUCCGAGCGUCAUUGCUGCCCUUCAAGCCUGGCUUGUGUGUUGGGUCGUCGUCCCCCCCGGGGGACGGGCCCGAAAGGCAGCGGCGGCACCGCGUCCGGUCCUCGAGCGUAUGGGGCUUUGUCACCCGCUCGAUUAGGGCCGGCCGGGCGCCAGCCGGCGUCUCCAACCUUCUAUUUUACCAGGUUGACCUCGGAUCAGGUAGGGAUACCCGCUGAACUUAAGCAUAUCAAUAAGCGGAGGA